ACGAGCCCCAGCCCCAGGAGUCCCAGGUGUUCCCAUUCUGUGAUCAGCACAGAACACACAACCCUCACCAUGGAGAUUGUGCUGGGCUGGGUUUUCCUGGUUGCUCUUUUAAAAGGUGUCCAGUGUGACGUGCAGCUGGUGGAGUCUGGGGGAGACCUGGUGAAGCCUGGGGGGACCCUGAGACUCACCUGUGUAGCCUCUGGAUUCACCUUCAGUGGCUAUUGGAUGAGCUGGGUCCGCCAGGCUCCAGGGAAGGGGCUGCAGUGGGUCGCAGAAAUUAGUGGUAGUGGAGGUAGCACAAACUAUGCAGACUCCAUGAAGGGCCAAUUCACCAUCUCCAGAGACAACUCCAAGAACACGCUGUAUCUGCAGAAGAACAACCUGAAGACCGAGUACAAGACCAUGUAUUACUGUGUAAGAGACAUGCCAGGACCACAGGAUCCCACAGCUCCUCCUUAUCCUCACCCAGUCCUGGACCCAGUCAAACAACGUCACACUUCCCUCCUGGCACUUGCAACUCAGGACUUUAAGUGA